AACUGGGAUUACCUUAGUAACGGCGAGUGAAGCGGUAAAAGCUCAAAUUUGAAAUCUGGUACUUUCAGUGCCCGAGUUGUAAUUUGUAGAAUUUGUCUUUGAUUAGGUCCUUGUCUAUGUUCCUUGGAACAGGACGUCAUAGAGGGUGAGAAUCCCGUUUGGCGAGGAUACCUUUUCUCUGUAAGACUUUUUCGAAGAGUCGAGUUGUUUGGGAAUGCAGCUCAAAGUGGGUGGUAAAUUCCAUCUAAAGCUAAAUAUUGGCGAGAGACCGAUAGCGAACAAGUACAGUGAUGGAAAGAUGAAAAGAACUUUGAAAAGAGAGUGAAAAAGUACGUGAAAUUGUUGAAAGGGAAGGGCAUUUGAUCAGACAUGGUGUUUUUUUAAUGUGCAAGUCUCUCGUGGACAUGUGCCUCUGGAAAUUAACACUGGGCCAACAUCAAUUCUGGCAGCAGGAUAAAUCAUUAAGAAUGUAGCUACCUCGGUAGUGUUAUAGCUUUUUGGAAUACUGCUAGCUGGGAUUGAGGACUGCGCUUCGGCAAGGAUGUUGG
rnacentral:rRNA from 1 species